AAUAUCAGUGAAGAGUAUAUAGGGUUACAGACAGACAUGGCAGAUAAGAAACAGGCUCUUCAGUAGUUAUUGUCAUUAUUAUUGCUGGUAAUAUUAUUAUUAUUGUAGCCACUAGAACAGAUACAAUCAUCUAAUGUAGUGAAACAGGAACGUGCAUGGCGAAUCAAAUCCAAAACAAUCCAUGAACCAAUCAGAAACAUGAAUCAAUUGCACUUCAUUUUAUUGACCACUAGAUGCCCUACUCGAGCACUGAGUGUCAGUGAAGCCUCGAGUAAUGAAGCAGGUAUUGGAUAAAGUGUUGAAGCUUCAUCAAAGCCUCGAUCUCCCAUCACUACCCGUGACGUCCCCGUUAAUUUCGGCACUGAACAAAAUGAAGCCUCUUCCUUGUUGACAUCCUCGAUUUUUGGAGCCAGUGACGACAGCAAGGGCGGAGCCGGAGAGCAGUGAUUGGUCAGACUGGCUGACAGCCGAGGACUUCCUGUCCCGCCCUCAUUUACGGACUUCUGCUGUUUACCGAGGCUGCUGCUGCUAACAACGUUAGCUUCCAAAAGUCGAGCUAAACUCCACAGGAAAGUCAUUUUUGUAGCUAGUUGUAGUCUUCUCCACAUCUGGACAACAUCACACAUAAAGCAGUGAAGUUACUUCUUGUUCUGGAUCAUUGGGAACAUCUGGUCUGAUGGACUGAGAGCUCCAGAGAACAUGAACAUCCAGCUGUGGUUGUCUGAAGAGUCUUCUCUCCUUCAUCACUGAUGUCCUCCUCAUCCUUCCAUUAAUAACAAUAAUGCUGCAGAUUCAGCUCCUCUCUUCAGAAUACAACUGGUCUUGUGACUGUUCAGUUUUUAUACAUCAAUGUCAGCAACACAUUAUUUAUUUCAUGUGUUUAAACAUCUUUACAGUUCAAAAUUGUUAAAGAACGUAGUUUUUAAAUGUAUAAUAAAGGAAAUAAUGAAGCUGUU